UGCACACACUAUCGCAAUGGUGCAAGAACUCAUCUCUUCGUGGCAUGUACAUGUCAUAUUCCAUCCGGGGUUUGCUUUCCAAGACAACUAUAUGCUGGUAAUGAUGAUGAUUGACUCUUGUCCCGUUAGGCCCACCAAUUACAUGAAGGGGUAAGUCCCGUGGCUAUAACCAUCAUGGAUAUCUAUUCUAGAUCAUUAUAGCCCCGCAAACCCUCCACGGUUGUGCCUCAUGCUCAGGACUAUAGGGUUUUAGACAUCAAUUCGGGCCUAGCCCGUCAAGCGCAGGUGAGUUACAUAAUUAAAAUGCCCCAUUUGAUCUCUCUAGACCGUAAUCCUUUGGUCUUGCUGAAUUGUACUCAUACUUAAGUUUCACUUUACUAUAAUAAUUUUACAUGCUUACAUGUGUCUAUUGCGUGAGGGCCACAUAGGGCUUGUACAACUACAGUGCGUGUACCCACUGGUCCACUGCACAUCCACCAUGUGGGAUCAGGGGUUGUGCACCACUGCACAUCCACCAUGUGGGAUCAGGGGUUGUGCACAUGCAUGUGGACUAAUCCACAUGCUCCAAUGUGGACAAGCAAUGGUUCCUCGUACUAACCACCAUUGGUGCUGGGCAAUCAGCAUGCUACCAUGCGCAUUUGGCGGGUUUGGGUAAGCCCCGUGUGUGUUGAUAGUGCCUGCGCCUGCGCUUGCAACCCCCCCACCCUGGCGCCAAUCACAUUUAACACCUAAGAAAAAUGUUGAAAAAACCAUGAAGGAUUGGAACUCUCUGCAAAAGACUAUGAUUUAAAAAAAAAAAGAACGGAUCAGUUAGAUGUCACAGACCUUUUUCGAAUCUGAUUCCUCUCCUGCAGUUGUUUCGAUCCUUCCAAUCUUUUUUUUAGUAUAAUUUUUCGGGCUCGAGAGUUCAAUAACUGCAACUUCAGACCGAUUUUUGAUGAUCAGAACUGGACAUAUGCUAAACAUUGGUCAACUUCCCAAGCCUACUGGACAUAUGCUAGACAAAUCCCCGAGCCUUUUG
rnacentral:lncRNA from 1 species